UACGUAGGCAGCGAGCGUUGUUCGGAGUUACUGGGCGUAAAGGGUGUGUAGGCGGUUGUUUAAGUUUGGUGUGAAAUCUCCCGGCUCAACUGGGAGGGUGCGGCGAAUACUGAGAUGCUGGAGUGCCGGAGAGGUAAGCGGAAUUCCUGGUGUAGCGGUGAAAUGCGUAGAUAUCAGGAGGAACACCGGUGGUGUAGACGGCUUUCUGGACCGUAACUGACGCUGAGACACGAAAGCGUGGGUAGCAAACAGG
rnacentral:rRNA from 1 species